rnacentral:rRNA from 1 species
AUUGAACGCUGGCGGCAGGCUUAACACAUGCAAGUCGAGCGGAGAUGAGGUGCUUGCACCUUAUCUUAGCGGCGGACGGGUGAGUAAUGCUUAGGAAUCUGCCUAUUAGUGGGGGACAACAUUUCGAAAGGAAUGCUAAUACCGCAUACGCCCUACGGGGGAAAGCAGGGGAUCUUCGGACCUUGCGCUAAUAGAUGAGCCUAAGUCGGAUUAGCUAGUUGGUGGGGUAAAGGCCUACCAAGGCGACGAUCUGUAGCGGGUCUGAGAGGAUGAUCCGCCACACUGGGACUGAGACACGGCCCAGACUCCUACGGGAGGCAGCAGUGGGGAAUAUUGGACAAUGGGGGGAACCCUGAUCCAGCCAUGCCGCGUGUGUGAAGAAGGCCUUUUGGUUGUAAAGCACUUUAAGCGAGGAGGAGGAGCUCUAGAUUAAUACUCUAGAUGCUUGGACGUUACUCGCAGAAUAAGCACCGGCUAACUCUGUG